rnacentral:rRNA from 1 species
CAUACCCACUAUUCGCCAGAAUACUACAAGCAAAACGCUCAAAACUCAAAGGACUUGGUGGUGUCCCACAUCAUCCUAGAGGAGCCUGUCCUAUAAUCGAUACUCCACGUUACACCUCACCAUCUUUAGCCCCUCAGCCUAUAUACCGCCGUCGCCAGCCUACCCCAUGAGGGUCAAACAGUAGGCAAAAAUGCCUAACACAAAAACGUCAGGUCAAGGUGUAGCUUAUAAGAUGGAAGAGAUGGGCUACAUUUUCUAAACUAGAAAACACGAAUAGUGCAAUGAAACCAAGCACUACGAAGGAGGAUUUAGCAGUAAAAUAAUAAAAGAAAAACUAUUUUAAACAAGCUCUGGGACGCGCACACACCGCCCGUCACCCUCAUCAACAAUAACACUACACCAACAUAUAACCCCGACCAACUAUAAGAUGAGGUAAGUCGUAACAUGGUAAGCGUACUGGAAAGUGUGCUUGGAUUACAAAAAGUAGCUUAAAUUAAAGCAUUCAACUUACAAUUGAAAAAUGUUAUCCACCCAACCUUUUUGAGCCAAUACCAAGCCCAACAUCACCCCCAAUCCAACCACUUUAAAAAACAAAUCAUUUGACUAGAGUAGUAUUGGAGAAAGAAC